AUUAGACACUUGCCAUCUUUGCUCAUUUUCAAGUUCUCUGUUUACAAAACUAUUAAGAAGGUGUGAAAUGCAGCCAAACUUCCCAGUUUAUGGGGAAUGUCUGAUGAUUACAUUUCCUACAUGUUCAUUGUUCGCACAUGAAGAAAUUUGGCAGCUGUGAGAUAAUAAAGUUCAGAGUAUCCAAAUCUAACCCUCACUGGGAUUUUGGUUCCCUGCUUUCUGCCACCACCAUCUCACCCCCUUUUGUAACUCUUUUUGUGGUAAAUGCUGUGUUGGCAUUUCUUAAGGUUAGUGAUCCUUAAAUUUUCUUGUUUUUUUUUUCCAUUUAUCAGAUGCUAUGAAUAAAUCAUAGAUUAAAAGUUCACCUGAUACAGAGUCUUGUCUUCAGGCCAUAACAUACCCAAACUGUUAAGAUUUCUUAUGUGUGAAAUUCUCAAUAAAGAGGUUUUAUAUUGGUGCCAUUAUUGGGAGAGGAGGGCAGUAGUGGUAGCCAAUCUAAAUGUUAUAAUUAUUUCAGAAUUACUCUGCCAGAAAGUUAUGAUCAUACAUAGAAGAGUUUGCAGCUAACUUUGAAAGUAGUGGAAAGUGGUUUUCAUGUAUUGUUUGGGUUAAUUUAAUUUUGAUUAUAUUUGGUUUUUAGUUCAGGUAAUUUUUUUGUUGAAAACUUCAAAUGACAAUUUCUUCAUGGUUACUAAAGAUCACUCAUGUGGAGUAGUUUCAGAUUUUUUUCUGAAUACACGUAUUACUUUUAGAGAUGUAAAGAUGUGAAAUUACUAAGAGAGAAACCCAUGUGAUUUGUUUAGUGGAUCAAAAGUCGGUAGCUCCUUUGAUCCUAAGUGCCACUGAUAGUUAAAUAGAUACUGAAGCUAUGGGCAGGCUGGAUUGAUAAGAAAAAAGGAGACAGAGAAAUGGGAAAUUGGGAAAGAACUGUGCAAAUAGGAAAAGGAGAGAGCAACAGAACAGAAUUAGUUAGUACCACAGUGCCGUAAGUGCCACCUCAGGUACUUCCAUCUCCCAUCUCCUGAAGAAUUCAGUAACAGUUUGCAAAUGGUCAACACAAUCAUUUAGUGAUCUGGUUUGAUAUUUUCAAUACUUUCUGUGUAUUUCUUGUCUGUUUUCAAAAUGAUGAUGCUGAUAGUUUUUAUUGCCCUGAAGGUUAUUCUGAAGUUUAGCAUAAUUUUAUUUGUUCAGUAAAUUAUUUGAAUAAAAGUUGUAUGAAUGAAAAUUCUGGUCAUCAUUAUUUUUGGUGAUUAUCCUGCAGUGGGAAUAGAGGAUUUAUAAUUUUAAACUCUGUCCUUUGUGUUUCAUUCACAGGCUGUAGAAGAAGAAGAUAAGAUGACACCUGAACAGCUGGCAAUAAAGAAUGUUGGCAAGCAGGACCCCAAACGUCAUUUGGAGGAACAUGUGGAUGUACUUAUGACCUCAAAUAUUGUCCAGUGUUUAGCAGCUAUGUUGGAUACUGUCGUAUUUAAAUAAAGCAAUGAAAAACGCUAUUAAUGAUGCCUUCAGUGUAUAUUCCUCUGUUGUUCCUAAUGCUCAAAAUCAAGGGACCUCUGAAGGUGUACUUGGCUAAAUGUAAGACAUCUGGCAUCAUUUGCAGCACUGUAACACCUUCAGUCUCAGUUGUGCGAUUACUUCUGUUUCUUUAGUCAGGGUCUUUGCAGAUUCUAAAGUUAUACAUGAAUACAUCAAAGUGGACAAAUUUUGUUAAGAUCCCAUUUAAUAUUUGAAAAAAUCAGUAGCACAAAUAUAUUUUGAUUGUCACUUACAAAAUAAAAUACAUUUACAGUC
rnacentral:sRNA from 1 species